AUUUUCAGGCUUUGUUGAUACUACUGUUGUACCGACGACAACUUCACUAGGAGACACCACUGAGGAUGAUUUUUCUGGCUUUAUUAAUACUACUGUUGUACCAACGACAACAUCAAUAGGAGACUCCAAUAACAAUGUCUCAUUUUAUCCAUUUGGAGUUGGAGACACACAAAAUGAAUGCUCUGAUGAUGGAAGUUCUGCACUCAUUUACCUCCUGCAACCGUUUAUAUUUUUUGGACACACAUACAACCAAAUAUAUGUCAACAACAAUGGACACUUGACUUUUGAUGGACAAUGGGACAGCUACUCCCCAUACAGCUUCCCAGGUCAUGGUGGCAAAGACAUCAUCGCUCCAUUCUGGACUGAUCUUAAUAAUUGUGAGAACGGUGUGAUCUCAUAUCAGCAGUACACCUCUGGCGAUGUCCUGACACAAGCUACACAAGACAUAAAUCAAUACUUCCCUGAUCUGAGCUUUUCUGCUUCAUGGGUCUUUGUUGCAACUUGGGACA